rnacentral:rRNA from 1 species
GACAGAGGGUGCAAACGUUGCUCGGAAUCACUGGGCGUAAAGGGCGCGUAGGCGGGAUGGCAAGUCGGUCGUGAAAUCCCUCGGCUCAACUGAGGAUCGUCGAUCGAUACUGCCGUUCUUGAGGAUUGCAGAGGAGACUGGAAUUCCCGGUGUAGCGGUGAAAUGUGUAGAGAUCGGGAGGAACACCGGUGGCGAAGGCGGGUCUCUGGGCAAUUCCUGACGCUGAGGCGCGAAAGCGUGGGGAGCAAACGGG